UAGGGAAUAUUCCGCAAUGGGCGAAAGCCUGACGGAGCAACGCCGCGUGAGUGAAGAAGAUCUUCGGAUUGUAAAGCUCUGUCAACAGGGACGAUAAUAACGGUACCUGUGGAGGGAGCCACGGCAAACUACGUGCCAGCAGCCGCGGUAAUACGUAGGUGGCAAGCGUUGUUCGGAAUUACUGGGCUUAAAGCGUGUGUAGGCGGCUUGGCAAGUCGGAAGUGAAAGCCCUCGGCUCAACCGGGGAACUGCUGUCGAAACUGCCAGGCUUGAAUGCGGGAUGGGAGAGCGGAAUGCAGGGUGUAGCGGUGAAAUGCGUUGAUAUCCUGCAGAACACCGGUGGCGAAGGCGGAUCUCUGGAACGCAACUGACGCUGAGGCGCGAAAGUCGGGGGAGCAAACA
rnacentral:rRNA from 1 species